rnacentral:rRNA from 1 species
AUACGGAGGGUGCAAGCGUUGUCCGGAUUUAUUGGGUUUAAAGGGUGCGUAGGCGGCCCGUUAAGUCAGUGGUGCAAGGUAUCAGCUUAACUGAUGAAGUGCCAUUGAAACUGAAGGGCUUGAGUACAGACGAGGUAGGCGGAUUUUAUGGUGUAGCGGUGAAAUGCAUAGAUACCCUAAAGAACACCGAUAGCGAAGGCAGCUUACUAGACUGAGACUGACGCUGAGGCACGAAAGCGUGGGGAGCAAACAGGAUUAGAAACCCCGGUAGUCC